AUUGAACGCUGGCGGCAGGCCUAACACAUGCAAGUAGAACGAGUGGCGGACGGGUGAGUAAUGUCUGGGAAACUGCCUGCUGGAGGGGGAUAACUACUGGAAACGGUAGCUAAUACCGCAUACCAUCGGAUGUGCCCAGAUGGGAUUGGCUUGUAGGUGAGGUAACGGCUCACCUAGGCGCCGAUCCCUAGCUGGUCUGCGAGGAUGACCAGCAAAAGUGGAACGGAAACAGGGUCCAGACGCCUACGGGAGGCAGCAGUGGGGAAUAUUGGACAAUGGGCGCAAGCCUGAUGCAGCCAUGCCGCGUGUAUGAAGAAGGCCUUCGGGUUGUAAAGUACUUUCAGCGGGGAGGCGUUACCCGCAGAAGAAGCACCGGCUAACUCCGUGCCAGCAGCCGCGGUAAUUC
rnacentral:rRNA from 1 species